AGGGGAUAUUUGGUUGUAGCUGGCUCAUGAAUUUGGGCAUGUGCACACCUAUCUCUUUCAUCCACACACACCUGUGCACUUGUGAGGCAGAUGGGGAAUUUAUUGAUUGUUUUUUAAGAACAAUUGGUGCUGGACCCUCUGUCUACUCAAUAUAUAAACUCAAUUUAUUUAGAAAUGAAUGUAAUGGAUGUAACGCAUCUAAUACUAAGUUUCAACAACGGAUCUCUUGGCUCUCGCAUCGAUGAAGAACGCAGCGAAAUGCGAUAAGUAAUGUGAAUUGCAGAAUUCAGUGAAUCAUCGAAUCUUUGAACGCACCUUGCGCUCCUUGGUAUUCCUUGGAGCAUGCCUGUUUGAGUAUCAUGAAAUCUUCAAAGUAAAUCUUUUGUUAACUCAAUUGGUUCCACUUUGGUAUUGGAGGUCUUUGCAGCUUCACACCUGCUCCUCUUCGUUCAUUAGCUGGAUCUCAGUGUUAUGCUUGGUUCCACUCAGCGUGAUAAGUUAUCUAUCGCUGAGGACACUGUAACAGGUGGCCAAGGGAAAUGCAGAUGAACCGCUUCUAAUAGUCCAUUGACUUGGACACUAUUUUUAUGAUCUGAUCUCAAAUCAGGU
rnacentral:rRNA from 1 species